GCCAGCCCUGGCCGACCGCGCUGCCAGGAUCUCCCAGGCUUCAAGUGCUGCAGAUACGUUUUGUGCUCUGCUCCCGUGUUAGCCUGACCUUUACAGCCAGGAGACUUCCCCUGUUUGUACGGCAAACCAAAUCCUUCCUGUCAAACUGAGGCUCGGCUUUGUUCUGGAAGUACUCGGAGUUCUGCAUCAGAGAUGUCAACGUCUAUUUUCCUUUCUCUGUCAAACCCCAUGGCCAAGUUUGUGUGAAUCAUUGUAGAGGAAAAACCUUGCUGUUGUUCCAAGAAGUGCUCAGAUGCGUCUCUGCCGGAUCACAGAUUGGGAUGGAUUACCGGAGGCCCUGGCGGUGCGGGGCAGCCCAGGACGUCGGGCUCUGUCUAGGGAGGCACCGUCCCCUUCACUCCAGCUGGCGUGCGGCAAUUCUAACAGAAAAACUGUAGUUCACCUGGAGAGGCCAGACAGCUGACAUCUGAGAGCCUCCUCUCUAGAACCUCCUCUCGAACAUACCUGUCUUCCAGCCUGGACUCAACACAGGUAGCCACAGAUAUUUUCUCCCAGUCUUGCCUCACUGUGGCCGUGUGGUCAGUGCCCAUCAGGGACAAGUGGGUGGAAGUGAUGUGUGCUGUUCCUGGGUCGACUUUGAAGAAGCAACAAAGCUUCUCCACUUUUUGUUGUCCUUCCACUGGCUGUAAGGAGGCCCCAGGGGAUGGGAUGGCAGUGCAGGAAGGUUGAAAGAGCUUCAGUUUCUGAGUCACCGCGUGAAGGAAAGCUGCCUGUCCAUCAGGAACACUGAAAUGAUCUGUAGUGAGAGGAUUGGAGACUAAAAGUAAGUUUUUAAUCAGAAUGAUACAUGUGAUUCAACAGAUUUUUGUGUCAAGAGGCUCUCUGAAGCUAUUUUGAGAAUCUGUUCUUCUAACCCGGUCAAUUUGUUAAGAAUUGACUAAUAAUCUGGUUUGGGAAAAUACUUACGUAAACCUUUUAUUGAGUCUUUCAAGUAUUUCUUCCUAAUUUUAAAAUAAUUUCCCUGCUCUCCUCACAGCCGAGUUCGUAGUGGAAGUGU